UACGUAGGGGGCAAGCGUUGUCCGGAAUCAUUGGGCGUAAAGAGCGUGUAGGCGGCUAUUUAAGUCCUGCGUGAAAUCCUGCGGCUCAACCGCAGACGGUCGUGGGAAACUGGAUGGCUAGAGUGCGGGAGAGGAGAGUGGAAUUCCCGGUGUAGCGGUGAAAUGCGUAGAUAUCUGGAGGAAUACCGGUGGCGAAGGCGGCAUCCUGGACCGGCAUUGACGCUGAGGAGCGAAAGCUAGGGGAGCAAACGGG
rnacentral:rRNA from 1 species